GGUGCAGGCCCUGUGCUGAGCAAUGGAGGCCACACAUGGUCCUUACCCCAAGGAGCUCACAGUCCAAAGGGGAGGAGAGCC
rnacentral:miRNA from 1 species